rnacentral:rRNA from 1 species
AGAGUUUGAUCCUGGCUCAGAGCAAACGCUGGCGGCAGGCUUAACACAUGCAAGUCGAGCGGGCACUUCGGUGUCAGCGGCAGACGGGUGAGUAACGCGUGGGAACGUGCCCUUCGGUUCGGAAUAACUUCAGGGAAACUUGAGCUAAUACCGGAUACGUGCGAGAGCAUAAAGGUUUAUCUGCCGAAGGAUCGGCCCGCGUCUGAUUAGCUAGUUGGUGAGGUUAUGGCUCACCAAGGCGACGAUCAGUAGCUGGUCUGAGAGGAUGAUCAGCCACACUGGGACUGAGACACGGCCCAGACUCCUACGGGAGGCAGCAGUGGGGAAUAUUGGACAAUGGGGGCAACCCUGAUCCAGCCAUGCCGCGUGAGUGAUGACGGCCUUAUGGUUGUAAAGCUCUUUUCUCCGGGACGAUAAUGACGGUACCGGAGGAAUAAGCCCCGGCUAACUUCGUGCCAUCAGCCGCGGUAAUACGAAGGGGGCUAGCGUUGCUCGGAUCACUGGGCGUAAAGGGCGCGU